rnacentral:rRNA from 1 species
GGAGGCAGCAGUAAGGAAUCUUCCACAAUGGGCGAAAGCCUGAUGGAGCAACGCCGCGUGCAGGAUGAAGGCCCUCGGGUCGUAAACUGCUUUUAUGAGUGAAGAAUAUGACGGUAACUCAUGAAUAAGCACCGGCUAACUACGUGCCAGCAGCCGCG